CAGUCGAGCGAACAGAUAAGGAGCUUGCUCCUUUGACGUUAGCGGCGGACGGGUGAGUAACACGUGGGUAACCUACCUAUAAGACUGGGAUAACUUCGGGAAACCGGAGCUAAUACCGGAUAAUAUUUCGAACCGCAUGGUUCGAUAGUGAAAGAUGGUUUUGCUAUCACUUAUAGAUGGACCCGCGCCGUAUUAGCUAGUUGGUAAGGUAACGGCUUACCAAGGCGACGAUACGUAGCCGACCUGAGAGGGUGAUCGGCCACACUGGAACUGAGACACGGUCCAGACUCCUACGGGAGGCAGCAGUAGGGAAUCUUCCGCAAUGGGCGAAAGCCUGACGGAGCAACGCCGCGUGAGUGAUGAAGGUCUUCGGAUCGUAAAACUCUGUUAUUAGGGAAGAACAUACGUGUAAGUAACUGUGCACGUCUUGACGGUACCUAAUCAGAAAGCCACGGCUAACUACGUGCCAGCAGCCGCGGUAAUACGUAGGUGGCAAGCGUUAUCCGGAAUUAUUGGGCGUAAAGCGCGCGUAGGCGGUUUUUUAAGUCUGAUGUGAAAGCCCACGGCUCAACCGUGGAGGGUCAUUGGAAACUGGAAAACUUGAGUGCAGAAGAGGAAAGUGGAAUUCCAUGUGUAGCGGUGAAAUGCGCAGAGAUAUGGAGGAACACCAGUGGCGAAGGCGACUUUCUGGUCUGUAACUGACGCUGAUGUGCGAAAGCGUGGGGAUCAAACAGGAUUAGAUACCCUGGUAGUCCACGCCGUANACGAUGAGUGCUAAGUGUUAGGGGGUUUCCGCCCCUUAGUGCUGCAGCUAACGCAUUAAGCACUCCGCCUGGGGAGUACGACCGCAAGGUUGAAACUCAAAGGAAUUGACGGGGACCCGCACAAGCGGUGGAGCAUGUGGUUUAAUUCGAAGCAACGCGAAGAACCUUACCAAAUCUUGACAUCCUUUGACAACUCUAGAGAUAGAGCUUUCCCCUUCGGGGGACAAAGUGACAGGUGGUGCAUGGUUGUCGUCAGCUCGUGUCGUGAGAUGUUGGGUUAAGUCCCGCAACGAGCGCAACCCUUAAGCUUAGUUGCCAUCAUUAAGUUGGGCACUCUAAGUUGACUGCCGGUGACAAACCGGAGGAAGGUGGGGAUGACGUCAAAUCAUCAUGCCCCUUAUGAUUUGGGCUACACACGUGCUACAAUGGACAAUACAAAGGGCAGCGAAACCGCGAGGUCAAGCAAAUCCCAUAAAGUUGUUCUCAGUUCGGAUUGUAGUCUGCAACUCGACUACAUGAAGCUGGAAUCGCUAGUAAUCGUAGAUCAGCAUGCUACGGUGAAUACGUUCCCGGGUCUUGUACACACCGCCCGUCACACCACGAGAGUUUGUAACACCCGAAGCCGGUGGAGUAACCAUUGGAGCUAGCCGUCGAA
rnacentral:rRNA from 1 species